UGGGUAGUCCGCACGAGCGCACCUCACUUUUAGUUGCCACCAUUUAGUUGGGCACUCUGAAAGAACUGCCAGUGAUAAGCUGGAGGAAGGUGGGGAUGACGUCAAGUCCUCAUGGCCCUUAUGUGUUGGGCUACACACGUGCUACAAUGGCAUUUACAAUAGGAAGCAAGAUGGCGACAUUAAGCAAAUCCUAAAAAAAUGCCUCAGUUCGGAUUGUACUCUGCAACUCGAGUACAUGAAGCUGGAAUUACUAGUAAUCGUGGAUCAGCGUGCCACGGUGAAUACGUUCCCGGGUCUUGUACACACCGCCCGUCACACCAUGGGAGUUGGUUCUACCUUAAGGCAAAGAUUAAAACCUUUGACCACGGUAUAGUCAGCGACUGGGGUGAAGUCGUAACAAGGUAGCCGUAGGGGAACCUGCGGCUGGAUUACCUCCUUUCU
rnacentral:rRNA from 1 species